CAGGGAGAGAUGGAGACAAUAGGU
rnacentral:siRNA from 1 species